GCCACUUUUGUCUGAAAUCAAAACGGAACAGAGGAGACUGAGAUCAUCUGAGGCAGCUGCUUUAGUGGUAUUUGAUAAAUAAAGAGUUUGAGUUUUGGGGGAGAGUAUGCUGAGAAGCAGGCAGCUUUAGAGAGAGUGAGUGAUGCAACAGAUUAUUGAUGAACACCAUUCUCUCACUCAACUUGCUUACUACCUCGUCCGCGUGGUUGAGAACCUGGCACUGGCUUUUUUGGGGUUUUGGAACAGUCGACUUUGGAAAUCAGGUUUUGGAUGCUUCUCUUAGUGAUGGCUUUGAUGGAUACGCU